CAGUCGCCACGGGAAUACGUAGGGUGCAAGCGUUAAUCGGAAUUACUGGGCGUAAAGCGUGCGCAGGCGGUUUUGUAAGACAGAGGUGAAAUCCCCGGGCUCAACCUGGGAACUGCCUUUGUGACUGCAAGGCUAGAGUACGGCAGAGGGGGAUGGAAUUCCGCGUGUAGCAGUGAAAUGCGUAGAUAUGCGGAGGAACACCGAUGGCGAAGGCAAUCCCCUGGGCCUGUACUGACGCUCAUGCACGAAAGCGUGGGGAGCAAACAGGAUUAGAUACCCGGGUAGUCCCUGUCUUUUAUAC
rnacentral:rRNA from 1 species